GCAUCAGUCUCUCUCUACCUCUGGAGGUGGAAUAUCAGGAUAAAAACACCUACAGCUGUGUGCUGAACAAUCCCAUCAGCAACCAGACUCAACAUCUGGACAUCACUCACCUCUGUCACACAUGUUCAGGUACGGCAGUGCUGAUAUUAGUUGAUGUCAGCGCUGAUAUUAGUGUUUAUUGACUGAUCUGAUCUCAGUUUGAUGUUUUUAUUCCUCAGACUCUGUCCACUGUUGUGGUCCUACUGAAGCCGUGAUCCGAUUGGUCCUCUCUGCUCUGGUGGGCGUGGCUACUGUCAUUAUUCUGGUUUAUGACAUCAGAUCCAGAAGAGCUGAACGAGAUCAAGCACAUAUUCACACAUCAGACAGUAUUGAAAUGAAUGCUGAACUUUAAAGGCUGUUUAGGUGUGCAUUUGUUCUUCUUUUUUCUCUUUUGAUGAUUAUUUGAGCUUGAUCUCUCUCUUUCAAUGUCAUAUUUUUAAAAAUCCAGUUUUAAAGGCUUUAUUGUUUAUAUUUCUCUGUAAGACACACAGAUCUCACUCGACUAUUGCUUCCGUCCAUUUGUCAGAUGUAUUUGUCUUUAUCAAUAAAGUUUUCUCACUCUGAA